AGACGGGACCCGCACAAGCAGUGGAUGAUGUGGAUUAAUUCGAUGCAACGCAAAACCUUACCUACCCUUGACAUGUCCGGAAUCCUGCAGAGAUGCGGGAGUGCCCGAAAGGGAAUCGGAACACAGGUGCUGCAUGGCUGUCGUCAGCUCGUGUCGUGAGAUGUUGGGUUAAGUCCCGCAACGAGCGCAACCCUUAUCAUUAGUUGCUACGCAAGGGCACUCUAAUGAGACUGCCGGUGACAAACCGGAGGAAGGUGGGGAUGACGUCAAGUCCUCAUGGCCCUUAUGGGUAGGGCUUCACACGUCAUACAAUGGUCGGUACAGAGGGUUGCCAAGCCGCGAGGUGGAGCCAAUCCCAGAAAGCCGAUCGUAGUCCGGAUUGUUCUCUGCAACUCGGGAGCAUGAAGUCGGAAUCGCUAGUAAUCGCGGAUCAGCAUGUCGCGGUGAAUACGUUCCCGGGUCUU
rnacentral:rRNA from 1 species